AUUUAGAAAGUCAUAUGGUAACUGAUGGUAUCAGCACAUCAAGAGAACUACCCAAGUGAACAUGAAAGUUAGAGAGCAGACACAUAAUGAAAAAUCUAAAUUAUGAAACCUAAAAGAAGAAUGGAAGGAAACAUGAAAUGUAGAGAAUGAAGAAUUUAACAGUCACAAAGACCACUAUACAGACCAGGUAGAACCUAACAGCUGACAAAGGAGUCUGGAAAGUGUAAUUUUCAUAGACUCCACACCAGCAUCACAGAAAAAUGUAUGGAAUGAAGAGCUUGGAGCUGAGAGCUGUGUUGCAUGGUAUUUUGUACAAUG